CCCUUAGAUGUUCUGGGCCGCACGCGCGCUACACUGACUGACUCAACGAGUGUACAACCUGCUUCGACAGAAGUGGGUAAUCUUUUGAAAUUCAGUCGUGAUGGGGCUAGAUUAUUGCAACUAUUAAUCUUCAACGAGGAAUGCCUAGUAAGCGCGAAUCAUCAGUUCGCAUUGAUUACGUCCCUGCCCUUUGUACACACCGCCCGUCGCACCUACCGAUUGGAUGGUCCGGUGAAGCCUCGGGAUUGUGGUUCUUGCCGCUUUAUUGUGGCGUGACCGCGAGAACUUGUCUAAACCUUAUCAUCUAGAGGAAGGUGAANUCGUAACA
rnacentral:rRNA from 1 species